rnacentral:rRNA from 1 species
GACGAACGCUGGCGGCGUGCUUAACACAUGCCAGUCGAACGGAAAGGCCCUGCUUUUGUGGGGUGCUCGAGUGGCGAACGGGUGAGUAACACGUGAGUAACCUGCCCUUGACUUUGGGAUAACUUCAGGAAACUGGGGCUAAUACCGGAUAGGAGCUCCUGCUGCAUGGUGGGGGUUGGAAAGUUUCGGCGGUUGGGGAUGUACUCGCGGCUUAUCAGCUUGUUGGUGGGGUAGUGGCUUACCAAGGCUUUGACGGGUAGCCGGCCUGAGAGGGUGACCGGCCACAUUGGGACUGAGAUACGGCCCAGACUCCUACGGGAGGCAGCAGUGGGGAAUAUUGCACAAUGGGCGGAAGCCUGAUGCAGCAACGCCGCGUGCGGGAUGACGGCCUUCGGGUUGUAAACCGCUUUCGCCUGUGACGAAGCGUGAGUGACGGUAAUGGGUAAAGAAGCACCGGCUAACUACGUG